GCCAGGAAGUACAGCUCAAGGGAGUCUCCAGUCACUGGAUGGGCAGCAUGGGAAAAAACGGCCAAGUCGUGAAUGCCACUGAACCACGAGUGUACAGAACCUACAAGCUAUCCGGCUCAGGGCCCGACUCUGGAGGUGUUCUCAACAGCAGAACUCAAGGACAAGCCUUUCUGACCACCAUAAAGGCUCAGGAGAGAAGAGGUACACCGCCAUCUACAAUGGAGACAGUGGAGAACAGGCUGUGGCUGUUUCUCAGAAACUAGAACCAAGAUGAAACAAAGGACAGCCACCUAGAUGGAGGCAGCCUCAAAGACAAGAUGCAGCCUUUGCUGUUGGCCACAGCAGCAAGGCAGAACGGAGCUGCCUGGCUUUUCCUUUUCUUGUACUUUAGUGUCCCACCAGUACGAACAAUUGGUUCAUCCUCCAUGGAGUUUCAGUGACACUCGGCCACCUGUAUGGAAGAGAACUGUAGGGAAUGGGCCGGAUGACAAGCCUGCACAGGAUCCAGAUAGCAGGUGCUAUUCAGGGUUGUUUGUGUUUUCCUGACUUCUGGAAGGCCAAUGGGAGCAUUUCAGGAACUGGAGAGGAAUUAGGAAAGGCGCAUCAAGGUUCCACAGAAUCAUCUAAGAAGUGUGGAAGAUAAAAGGUGACAAGCACAGGCAAUGGUGGCUCACACCUGUAAGUCACACCCCUGGGGGAGCUGAGGCAGGAGGGUCAACAAUUGGAGGCCAGCCUGAGUUCUGGAGCAAAAUAUAUCAAUUAAAGGGGAAAGAAAGAAUUAACGGGUAAUAACAGGAGGGAAGGUGAGCAAGGAGUCCGGAGUUUCGUGGAUAAAAUAGUAGAACAAUAAUACUCUAAUACUCAUGCUGGUAAGUGGCUGGCAGCCAAGAUCAGUAAGUGCUGAAGGCUUACAUUUUGGUUUGGUUUGGUUUUUUAAUCAUCAGUAUGCGAAGAGGCCAAAACAUAUCCACAUGUCAAGGGAAGAGGCAAGGGAGUGAGACAGACAAGAACAAUGGAGUGGGGUGAAAGGAGACGGGAGAAGAGAAGGAAGAGGUGAGGGAACCAGAAAACCAUGGCUGAUAACUGUCUCUGAGUCUGGAAUUCUAGCUGUUUGUUACGUUGUGUUUUUCUAAGAACCCAAUUUCUUUCUUAGGUUCCUGGAGUGGUAGAAAUGUAUUUUAAUUUCUCCAAGUUUUGUGUUUUCUUCUGAAUUCUGGAAUCUCACCUGAUAGUAAAGCGGGAAUUUGAGUAUGUAUGUGUACGUGCUAUGCAUAUAAGUGUGCAUGUGUGAACAGAAACAUUUUCCCCAAACUCAUGGCUGACUUCUCUCAUGGACGGGCUAAAAGUGCAACUAACUUUUAAACACAGAGUACUCUGUUAUCAGUGAUUCUUGAAAAAGUCCCUUGUUUCAUUGACAUUAGUUGUUAUCUGCUUGAGUAAACAAAACCAGGGCGUGCCCCACCGUGGGAAAGUGGGAAGUGAGUCUGUGGGAACGCAUUUCCUAGGGUAACCUUAGAAGGCUGCCGACUGCCGUUCGCUGUGGCUCCAGUUCACCGGGCACCAGGACGUGGAAACAGUCACAGCUUCCUCAUCCACCUCCCGAGAGUCCCGCUUCUGCCUAGCCUUCUUCAGCCACUUCUGUGCCCUGGGUUGGUUCCUGUGCCAGGGUAUGUGUCCCCUGGGCUGACUCGGCUGGGUGGAGUGCGUUACUACAACAACCUGAAGUAAUCUCACCGUCUUUGGAAAGCACCAAAACUCAACCACAGGAAGCAGAGUUCAGCCGCUCGGAAUAUUCAGGAAGGAACUACAGGCCAGGCCUAAAAAUCAGGAACAGCCCAGGACUGAAAAUUAGGGAAGCUUGGUGUUCUUUUGCUCACAGAUAAAUCAAGCAACGGUAUUUAAGAAAUAAAUAUAUUAUGUUUCCGUCACCAAACUAGAGAUUCGUUUUGAAAUUUUUAUCAUCACUGUUUUUACUAAAAACGGUUCAUACAAAGAUUUGAUGAAUGAUUUUGUCUCUCCUCGGUGUACCAUAAUAUAUCCUGUCCUUUCUCUACUUGAGUUUCAUGGAUGUGUCACAGCCUGCCCCAACAAAGAAAGGCAGCAACACAGUGACUUUGAGAGCUAAUAGCCAUCUCCAGCCCAGGCUCACUUUAUCAUCCAUGGCCACCCUCUCAAUUCAGCAGAAUCCUUUCUUUGGUUUUCUCAGUAUUUCUCUAGACAGAGUUUUCCACCCAUCUCCAGCUGCUUCUAAAAAUUCCCUUCUGACAAAAUAUAAAUACAUAGAACAGGUUCCCUGAAAGCACUCCUCUGUUUUCUCUUUAACUGGCCCUACCAAGUUUAGCUAACACAAAUUAAACAUACAUAAGGACUACUGUAUAAUCAACACGUUUGAAUCUGAACUACCAUUACAGUGACGUGUUCCUUGUUUCCUUCUCUAUAUGAGCACUUUUCAUGUCAUCUCCUUUGUCUAGUUUUGCUUAUGUUUCCUGUGGCCUGGAGAUUUUGUGUGUGAGAGGUGGGGAGCUCUGGAAGCUGGAGGUCAAUCAAUAUCAAGUUUCUUCUUCAAUCACAUCAGGAUCCCUUAGAGGGAUCUGGGUCGUGGUGAUAAGGCUAGGCUGGCCAACAAGCUUCUUGUCUCUACCGCCCCGUGCUGGGAUUAUAUGCAUGCACCACCACACCAAGCUAGGCACGUGGCUCCUGAGAGUCAAAUGUAGGUCUUUGUGCUUUCUUUACUGGCUGAGCCUUAUUCCCCGCUCAGAUUAUGGAUUUUAUCAACAGAAAAGUCAAUCCUCGGCAAUGUCCUGAAGUGUUCCUUCUACAUUUUCUUUUUGUAAGUUAUAGUUUGGGGUCUUGUUUCUCUGCCUUUCACCCAUGUCGAAUCAACUUUUAUAACUGAUUAAUGUGUUCUAUAAUUUUUGCUACCUCUUUGUUUGAAUUUAUUCUCAUGCAAUUAUUGUAGCUACUGGAGAGAAGGUUGCUUCCUUGAUUUUUAUUUGGCAUUCAGAGAUACUGCUGAUGUUUUGUGUGUUGAUUUUGUAUCCUGUAACUUUCCUGAAUGAAAUUAUUAGCUCAAAUCACUUUAGAAGUCUUCUGGGUUUUUUUUUAAAUUAUGCAAUGUACACACAAGGACAAAGUAACAUCCUGUUUUUCAAUUUGAAUGAACUUCUUUUUUACUGUUGCUUGAUUGCAAUGUCUAGCAUCACCUUCCCAUGUUAUUUUAAAUAAAAGUACUGAAAGUACA